rnacentral:rRNA from 1 species
CAGCACCUCAAGUGGUCAGGAUGAUUAUUGGGCCUAAAGCAUCCGUAGCCGGCUCUGUAAGUUUUCGGUUAAAUCUGUAUGCUCAACAUACAGGCUGCCGGGAAUACUGCAGCGCUAGGGAGUGGGAGAGGUAGACGGUACUCGGUAGGAAGGGGUAAAAUCCUUUGAUCUAUUGAUGACCACCUGUGGCGAAGGCGGUCUACCAGAACACGUCCGACGGUGAGGGAUGAAAGCUGGGGGAGCAAACCGGAUUAGAGACCCGAGUAGUCC